rnacentral:tRNA from 1 species
GCUUCUGGCGCUGGAAGGGUAAAGCACUCCCUUGGCAAGGGAGAAGCCGAGAGUUCAAAUCUCCAGCGGCACCA